rnacentral:rRNA from 1 species
CUACCCGGGUAUCUAAUCCUGUUUGCUCCCCACGCUUUCGCACCUGAGCGUCAGUAUUGGUCCAGGAAGCCGCCUUCGCCACUGGUGUUCCUUCCGAUAUCUACGCAUUUCACCGCUACACCGGAAAUUCCGCUUCCCUCUCCCAUACUCUAGCAAAGCAGUUUCGAAUGCAGUUCCCAGGUUGAGCCCGGGGAUUUCACAUCCGACUUGCAAAGCCGCCUGCGUGCGCUUUACGCCCAGUAAUUCCGAUUAACGCUCGCACCCUCUGUAUUACCGCGGCUGCUGGCAC